rnacentral:rRNA from 1 species
AGUGAACGCUGGCGGUAGGCCUAACACAUGCAAGUCGAACGGCAGCACAGUAAGAGCUUGCUCUUACGGGUGGCGAGUGGCGGACGGGUGAGGAAUACAUCGGAAUCUACUUUUUCGUGGGGGAUAACGUAGGGAAACUUACGCUAAUACCGCAUACGACCUACGGGUGAAAGCAGGGGAUCUUCGGACCUUGCGCGAUUGAAUGAGCCGAUGUCGGAUUAGCUAGUUGGCGGGGGAAAGGCCCACCAAGGCGACGAUCCGUAGCUGGUCUGAGAGGAUGAUCAGCAACACUGGAACUGAGACACGGUCCAGACUCCUACGGGAGGCAGCAGUGGGGAAUAUUGGACAAUGGGCGCAAGCCUGAUCCAGCCAUACCGCGUGGGUGAAGAAGGCCUUCGGGUUGUAAAGCCCUUUUGUUGGGAAAGAAAAGCAGCAGGUUAAUACCCCGCUGUUCUGACGGUACCCAAAGAAUAAGCACCGGCUAACUUCGUG